rnacentral:rRNA from 1 species
GACAGAGGGUGCAAACGUUGUUCGGAAUUACUGGGCGUAAAGCGCGUGUAGGCGGCCCGGAAAGUCGGAUGUGAAAGCCCUGGGCUUAACCUAGGAAGUGCAUUCGAAACUGCUGGGCUUGAGUUCUGGAGAGGAAGGCGGAAUUCUCGGUGUAGAGGUGAAAUGCGUAGAUAUCGAGAGGAACACCUGCGGCGAAGGCGGGUUGCUGGGCUGACACUGACGCUGAGGCGCGAAAGCCAGGGGAGCGAACGGG